AUUGAACGCUGGCGGCAGGCUUAACACAUGCAAGUCGAGCGGAGAUGAGGUGCUUGCACCUUAUCUUAGCGGCGGACGGGUGAGUAAUGCUUAGGAAUCUGCCUAUUAGUGGGGGACAACAUUCCGAAAGGAAUGCUAAUACCGCAUACGCCCUACGGGGGAAAGCAGGGGAUCUUCGGACCUUGCGCUAAUAGAUGAGCCUAAGUCGGGUUAGCUAGUUGGUGGGGUAAAGGCCUACCAAGGCGACGAUCUGUAGCGGGUCUGAGAGGAUGAUCCGCCACACUGGGACUGAGACACGGCCCAGACUCCUACGGGAGGCAGCAGUGGGGAAUAUUGGACAAUGGGCGGAAGCCUGAUCCAGCCAUGCCGCGUGUGUGAAGAAGGCCUUUUGGUUGUAAAGCACUUUAAGCGAGGAGGAGGCUACUGAGACUAAUACUCUUGGAUAGUGGACGUUACUCGCAGAAUAAGCACCGGCUAACUCUGUGCCAGCAGCCGCAGUAACAC
rnacentral:rRNA from 1 species